UACGUAGGGGGCCAGCGUUGCUCGGAAUUACUGGGCGUAAAGGGUUCGUAGGCGGUGUGGCAAGUCGGGAGUGAAAUCUCUGGGCUUAACUCAGAGGCUGCUUCCGAAACUGCCGUGCUAGAGUGCGGGAGAGGCGAGUGGAAUUGCAGGUGUAGCGGUGAAAUGCGUAGAGAUCAUGAGGAAGACCAGUGGCGAAGGCGGGUCUCUGGACAGUUCCUGACACUGAGGCACGAAGGCCAGGGGAGCAAACGGG
rnacentral:rRNA from 1 species